CUCACGGAAGGGGAAGAGAAGCUGGAAUGUCAAACAUCGAAAAGUAGCAACUGUGUAGGAAGGAUGUCGGCGUCCUCGCGCCUGCCUACCGUGAGGGUCUCCGGCGUGCGGCUAUGCGCCCCGCCCUUCCCCCAUCGCUCGGGCCUGCCCCGCGGGCCACGCCGCGUCGCUGUGGCGGUACCCUUGGGGACCCGGGGCAGCCUGUGCUCCACACCGGCACCUUGGCUCAAGUUCGCGCCACGACUACAAAAAUAGCUCGGAAAUGCGGAACUACAGCGCCUCGUUUUGUAUUUUCCUCGUAAGUUCGGAUUCUAUGUCUCCUACCUCUCCAAGUCUACUGGUUUAUGCAGAUGAUGUUCCUGUCACCAUGGCUGGAUGAUGGCAGCUGUAACCCAUUGACCUUUCUAAGCAAACAUGCUAGAAUGCUUGGAGAACCAUAACUGCCACUUUCAGGACAGCAGCACACUCUGGAUAGCUAAAGCUUUGACUUCUUUUCUAAGUAAGGAUCGCUUCAUGGAAACCACAUGUAUAGGUAAAAGAUGUGCCGUAGCCCAGCCUAAUGGCUGUUCCAUUUAUAAAGAUCAGCCAUGGGGCUGACGACAGUCAUUUAUGUUUUGCACUUGGAUAUCAAACAUAGUGUAUAUUUAGCAUUCCAAAUUAUGUGGUUGAGAUCAGAUGAUUUUUUUUUUUGGAUUUGUUCUUAUAAAAGGGUUUAUAAACCCUAUAGAUAAAUAAUUAAGAAUUCCCAUUUUGGAGACCUAAAGAUUCUGGUCACCAGUUCCUGUGUGGCGAGUGUACGUGUUUGGGAGGGCAUUCCCCACAUCAACAAGCAAUUUUCUGACACCAGCUGGAUAUCCUACAAGUUGACUCAAUUCUGACACUGUCUACCUGGGGAUAGCAUCAGAUUCCACAGGUUAAAGGCUCAGUGUCACAAGACUGCCAUUUACUUUAGAAGAAAAUGGUGAGCCCAGGUUGUUACCUAUUCUUCUGAUGAUCAGCUACAAAUCAGAGGUUCUCUUUACCCCUUCUUGGGUUGUGUAUUAAGUGAUCAUCCUACAAGUCCCACCCUCCCACUUCAGAAGCCAGUUAUAAAUCCAGGUUUUCACCUAUUCGUUUCACCUUAUGCCCACCUUGAUUUUGAUUAAUUUGUUAGAGUGGCUCAGAAAACUCAGGGAAACAUUUUCUCUAGUAAUUGUUCAUUUGUUAUAAAAGAAUAUUACUCAGGAACAGCCAAAUAGAAGAGAUAAAUAGGACAAGGUAUAGGAAAAGAACUUGGAACUUCCUUUGUGCCCUGAGUAUGCCUCUCCCUGACUCUUUACAUGUUCACCAACCCAGGAGUGCUCUUAAUCCCAUCCUUUUGGGGUUUUAUGGAGGCUUCAUUACUUAGGCACAGUUUAUUAAGUCAUUGGACAUGAGUGAUUGAUUCAUCAGCCAGCCCCUUUCUUCUUCCCUCUGGUCAAGGGGUGGGACUGAAAGUUCAAGCCCUCUAUUCAGAGGUUCUAUUCCAUUGGUUCCCCUGGUAACCAGCAGUAUCCUUAGGUGCUUUCCAAAAGUCACCUCAUUAACACAAACCCCAUUGUAGUGGAAGGGGGCUUAUUAUAAAUAGCAAGACCCUCAUUUCACUUUGUUUGCUCUGAAGUGAUUUCAUGAACUGAAGACCAAAGACCAAAUGUUAUAGCAAAGGUACUUGCUUUCUGCUCAGGAAAUUCCAAGGAUUUGAAACUGUGGACCAGGAACCAAAGGCCAAAUAUGUAUUUUUUAUUAUAAAUCACAAUAUCACAGGAACUAACUGUAGAGAGGUCUUAUCAUUCAGUAUAGUCUAUUGUGUGGCCAAUACAACUGAGUUCACAAUAGAAAUAUAACUGAGUCACUGGUGUAUCCAAUUUGAGAGAUUCUCCUCUGCUUUUCUGUUCUUCUCGUGCUGCCUCGUACUUUCUGUAGAAAGUAAUUGGUAUAUAGGGUUUUCCUCCAUCCACCUUCCCCCCCAAGGAAAUAGUAAAGUUCUGCUUAUUUUUUGAGAGGUUGUUACUGAACCAAAUUUGGGCCCACUUGCCUGCCUCACAACAAAGCCUGAUACCAGGCUUGAGGUGAAGGAAAGUACAUCAUUUAUUUGCAGGCCCCCAAGCAAAUGCUUAAAAGACCCAACUCUCUGAUGGCUUUCAGGGAAGAAUUUUUUAAAGGCAGCAUUUGGAAUGAGAGUCCCAGAGUCGCAGCUCAUGGACUUUCCUCUGAUUGGUUGGUGGUGAGCUAACAGUGAUCUUUCAGAGAUCUUAACCGUCAGCCUCUGGUUCCAACCAGUCUGGGGUCUCUGGGCUUGUGGUCAACAUGUAGGCACCAUCUUCCUCCUGCUAAGGGGGGGUCUUAGUCUCUGAAGAACAGCUUGAAGAUAUGCAUCAAAUUAUUAUGUAUAUCCAUUGAGGAGGAAAUAGGGACUGUUUUAUCACUGAACUAUUGUUUAAACUAUCACUGCUUUUCUUGCUUAACUCCUUUUCCUUUGUUUCUUUAUUCCCUCACUUCCCUAAUUAGUAACUAUUUCUCCUCUUUGGAGCUCUGGGAGGACUAGGAGAUAAAGCUUUUUUCUACAGACAAGAAACAGAGGACAUGGAAAGGCUUUUGUACCCAGGAGGUCCCCAAAGAGUCCUGCUUCAAAGUCAGGAAUUAAAAUUUUAAAUCACAUCGAAGGAAUUAGAAAUGUUACGUAUUCCUUUAUUAUAACUAAGCUUCCUUGAAGUUUUGCCUGCUUCUUAGAAAACAGAACUUAAAUAAUUAUAGGUAAGUAAAAUAUGUUGUAUAGUGACCUAAUCAAUGAUAACAAAACCAUUCUAACUUGUUGACAAACUAAAAACAGCAGCUUAGUAGAAUAAACUGAAAUGUCAAAACAAUUAAAAUUUUUGUAAAUGUUAUAUCAUUCCAGCGUAAAAUAGCAUGUAAUUGCAGCUAUCAGUUUGCACUCAAUAGUAAAUACAGUAAUUGAAAUUCUAGAAUUUAUUUAAAAAGAAGCUUUAACUCUAUAUAAGGGCAGAUUUUAAUUUUUUUUGUAUUAGGUUUUGAUUCCCAAGUCUUUAAGACACUAGUACUUAGGGUUGAACUAUAGAUAAUGAAAGACAAUUUAAAAACAUCAAGAGAGAAAAACUAGUUCAGUGUUAAUUUAAAUACCAAAGCAAUUGACCAAUAGUAAAUAGUGAAAACUUUCCUGUAAAUCGAGUCCUGGUGGCUCAGGGGUUUAAGAAUCUGGCAUUGUCAUGCUAUGGUGCUUUACGGCAGCUGCCCAGCAGCCCACAGCUUCAGUGUAUCAACUCUAGCAAAAACCCUGUGGCUGUAGUGUUAUCAGUUCCAGCAGCUCUUUUACCUGGCAAGAAACCAAGCGAGCACUCGGAGAGUUGGAGAACACAGGUUUAUUACACCUGCAGACUCAGAGGAGAUGGCUCUCCGGAGUCUGAGGGGAAACCCUAAGAAGGGUUUCACAAGGCUUUAAUGGGCUAGCUGUUUUGGGUCUGUGCUUGGCGGGUUGGACCAGAGUGAGAACAGGCAGGGUUGUAGUUGCAGAAGCAGCUUUAUAGAAGCAGAUGUGUGGGGGAGGGGUAGUUAGGGGCAGUUGACUGGACUUUGCUUAGUCAUCAUGGUUGGGGUCUCUCCUU